rnacentral:lncRNA from 1 species
CUUGUGCCUAGAGGUACAGCUCUGAAGGGAAAAGUGCCUAUUUUUUUUUAAUUUUUUUUUUUUUUCUUUUCUGGCAGCAAACAGAGACAGCUAACCUGGAAGUUGGAAUGCCCAGUGUCUUCUCCAAAAUUAUCCAGACUGCUUUUGUUUGCAGAAGUCAGACUGUGCAAGCUGUUGGUGUGUGGCUUGUCCCGCAAACGGCAUGAGGAUGGCAUAGACAGAUGCCAAAAGUGAGGGCCCCCAUCAGCCCAGCAGCCCUGCUGUGAACCACCAAAGUGCCAGGGUGAGUGGCAGCCGGCAUCUCCUUGGUUAUUGGAGAGAGCAGCUGUGUCACGUUCGCUUAGUUUACAUCAUAAUCCAAAUCAACCAUGAAGGAUGAAGAUGCAUAGAAGGAAAGGGACAAAAAAAUAAAAUCCCGAAU